CAGUCGCCACGGUAACACGGAGGGUGCGAGCGUUAAUCGGAAUUACUGGGCGUAAAGCGUACGCAGGCGGUUUGUUAAGUCAGAUGUGAAAUCCCCGGGCUUAACCCGGGAACUGCACUUGAAACUGGCAGGCUAGAGUCUCGUAGAGGGGGGUAGAAUUCCAGGUGUAGCGGUGAAAUGCGUAGAGAUCUGGAGGAAUACCGGUGGCGAAGGCGGCCCCCUGGACAAAGACUGACGCUCAGGUGCGAAAGCGUGGGGAGCAAACAGGAUUAGAUACCCCGGUAGUCCCUGUCUCUUAUAC
rnacentral:rRNA from 1 species